ACCCCGCUUGAAUUAAGCAUAUCAAUAAGCGGAGGAAAAGAAACCAACAGGGAUUGCCUCAGUAACGGCGAGUGAAGCGGCAUAAGCUCAAAUUUGAAAUCAGCCUCAAGGCCGAGUUGUAAUUUGCAGAGGAUGCUUCGGAUUCUGCUCCGGCCUAAGUCUUUUGGAACAAGGCGUCAAGGAGGGUGAAAAUCCCGUAUUUUCGGAUUCCAGUCUCCAUGUGAAGCUCCUUCGAAGAGUCGAGUUGUUUGGGAAUGCAGCUCUAAAGGGGAGGUAAAUUUCUUCCAAAGCUAAAUAUCUGCUAGAGACCGAUAGCGCACAAGUAGAGUGAUCGAAAGAUGAAAAGCACUUUGAAAAGAGAGUUAAACAGCACGUGAAAUGGUUAAAAGGGAAGCUUAUGCAGCCAGAUAUGAUUCUCAGGCUCAGCCUUAUGGUGUAUUCCUGUGAAUCGAGUCAACAUCAGUCUGGGCAGCUGGAUAAAAGCUUCGGGAAUGUAGCUCCUCGGAGUGUUAUAGCCCGAUUCACCAUGCAGCUAGCUCAGUCUGAGGUCCGCUUAUAGGAUGUUGACGUAAUGGUGGCAUGAGGCCCGUCUGAAAACACGGA
rnacentral:rRNA from 1 species